rnacentral:rRNA from 1 species
AACGAACGCUGGCGGCAGGCUUAACACAUGCAAGUCGAGCGCACUCUUCGGAGUGAGCGGCAGACGGGUGAGUAACGCGUGGGAACCUACCUUUAGGUACGGAAUAACAGUUAGAAAUGACUGCUAAUACCGUAUGUGCCCGAGAGGGGAAAGAUUUAUCGCCUAAAGAUGGGCCCGCGUUGGAUUAGCUAGUUGGUGAGGUAAUGGCUCACCAAGGCGACGAUCCAUAGCUGGUUUGAGAGGAUGAUCAGCCACACUGGAACUGAGACACGGUCCAG